UGAAGGUGAGAGGAAGGGUGUUCCUGGCAGAAGGCACAGCAUGGGCAAGGGCAUGAUGGCAGGAGCGUAUGGCUUGUGUUCAAGGAGGAGUCCUGUUGGCCGGAGAUAUGGAUCUAGAAACUGCAUGAUUUGGCCAUUGAUUGGAUCAAGAUCUGAAUGAGGAUAAAUGGGAAGAGGUGGUAAUUAGCCAUUCUGGCAUUUUGUGACUGAUGAUCGGAGAUACUUCAGACAGGUGAAAUAGCUGGUUCGGAUGGUGAUCAAUGAGGAGUUUGAGGGCUGCCAUGGUGCCCUGGCACUCCUAUUCCCAGGGGAGCGUCUGCCAGGCUGGAGCACACCAUGGGGCAAGGGAGACAAUGGCCCAACACCCUCCAGAGGCCAGAAGGGGUGAACCUGAUGGAAGAUAUUCACAUCCCCCCAACAGCGGGUGGAGGGAAUAAACAAUGCCUCAUUGGAAAGUAUAAGUCCUUGAGGUGUGUUCAUUCACUCUCUAUGAUGACCUUUUAGCUUAGGCUCUGCCAUCCUCCCUGUGUUACAGAUGGGCUAAGAAGAACGUUUCUCGUAAGGCCGUUGUGAGGAUCACAUGAGGUAAGUGUUAUAAGGGACUCAACACACAGCCUGCAAUGUGGUCAGAGUGCAGUGGAGAUUAGCCACCGCCACUGGGGGGAGGUUGUUGUCAUGGGCUCUGCCUGGUUAUUGCAUUUCUCUGCUUUAAUCUCCACAUGGCUGGGUUAGAAGGGCCAUUUCCAGGGCCUUCCCAAACUGAGGGCCUCCAUCCUCAGGUGGUCCUCUCCCUGACCCAACGCUGUUCUCUGCAAUGACAGAUCACAAGAAUCUCCUCGUCUGGUGGACUCACCAAGAACAAGCCCCCGCCCCAGGUAGAGGUACCUGACUCAGGCACCCUGUAGUCCCGUCCUUCCGAGCACCAAAGGAUCCCAGGCUUGCCUGUCCCAGAGUGAGCCACUCCACAGCAGUAGGGCCUUGGAGCAUUUACCUUUACAGCAACAAGCCCAU